rnacentral:lncRNA from 10 species
UGGCAAAUUAUUCCAUAGUAUUUAAUUUCAUGUACUCCAAAAAAGGAAAGACUCAACAAACUAAAAGGUUACAUAAACAAAGACUUAAUUCUCAGUAGUUCUGGCAUGUGUCUCUUCUACCAGUGAAUUUCUCUUUCAGGUAUGCAGUCUUCAUCUCAGUUAAGAGGUAACAGGUAGAACAGGUCUGGAACAUGCAGGCUUUAAAAAUAUUUUGCCACUUUUCCUGCGAAUGAGGCCACAGAAAUGAUGCAAGUAACUAAAAGACAUGUAACUUAUGUCAACAUGAUAAGAAACAAAAGAAAUAAGUGGCCUGAAAUAAUUUCUCAUUGUUCAAUUCUCACCUACGAGUGAGAAUAUGCGGUGUUUGGUUUUUUGUCCUUGUGAUAGUUUGCUCAGAAUGAUGGUUCUUAUCAGCUUAAGGAGAUUUUGGGCUGAGACGAUGGGGUUUUCUAGAUAAACAAUCAUGUCAUCUGCAGACAGGGACAAUUUG